rnacentral:rRNA from 1 species
GCAGAGGCGGGGCAAGAAGCGGUGGGAAGACAUGGGGGGAAGGGGUUAAUCGUAGUGACUGGAGGUAAAGGGGUGGUAGGUGGUACGCUAAGUCGAUUGUUAAAGCACUGGGCUCAACGUGGGAAUGGCAGUCGAUACUGGUGAGCUAGAGUUCGGUAGAGGGGGACGGAAGUCCCGGUGUAGCGGUGAAAGGCGUAGAUAUCGGGAGGAACAUCGAUGGCGAAGGCAAUCACCUGGGCCUGAACUGACACUGGGACACGAAAGCGUGGGUAGCAAACAGGAUUAGAUACCCUAGUAGUC